rnacentral:rRNA from 1 species
UACGUAGGGUGCAAGCGUUAAUCGGAAUUACUGGGCGUAAAGCGUGCGCAGGCGGUGAUGUAAGUCAGAUGUGAAAUCCCCGGGCUCAACCUGGGAACUGCAUUUGUGACUGCACGGCUGGAGUGCGGCAGAGGGGGAUGGAAUUCCGCGUGUAGCAGUGAAAUGCGUAGAUAUGCGGAGGAACACCGAUGGCGAAGGCAAUCCCCUGGGCCUGCACUGACGCUCAUGCACGAAAGCGUGGGGAGCAAACAGG